rnacentral:rRNA from 1 species
GAGUUGUUUGGGAAAGCAGCUCAAAAUGGGUGGUAAAUUUCCAUCUAAAGCUAAAAUACAGGCGAGAGACCGAUAGCGAACAAGUACCGUGAGGGAAAGAUGAAAAGAAACUUUGGAAAGAGAGUUAAACAGUACGUGAAAUUGCUGAAAGGGAAACGCUUGAUGUCAGUCACGUCGGCCAGGGAUCAACCUUGCUUCUCGCUGGGUGUACUUCCUGGUCGACGGGUCAGCAUCAGUUUCGAUCACUGUACAAGGGCGGAGGGAACGUGGCACUCUUCGGGGUGUGUUAUAGCCUUUCGUCGCAUGCAGUGGUCGGGACUGAGGAACUCAGCACGGCUUCGGUUUGUGCUUAGGAUGCUGGCAUAAUGGCCUUAAGCGACCCGUCUUGAAACACGGACCAAGGAGUCUAACAUGCCUGCGAGUGUUUGGGUGCCAAACCCAUGCGCGUAAUGAAAGUGAAAGUCGAGACCUCUGUCAUGGAGGGCACCGACGCCCGGACCUGAGUCUUUGACGACGGAUCUGCGGUAGAGCAUGUAUGUUGGGNCCCGAAAGAUGGUGAACUAUGCCUGAAUAGGGUGAAGCCAGAGGAAACUCUGGUGGAGGCUCGUGGGGAUUCUGACGUGCAAAUCGAUCGUCGAAUUUGGGUAUAGGGG